rnacentral:lncRNA from 9 species
AGACUGGAAACGUCCAAACUGCUUAUUGCUAGCGGGUCAUCUGGGAGCCGUGGAAUUGGGAUUCCCACUCUCGGAACUCUGCUUGCUUCCAGCCCCUGUGCCGACAGACGGCAGCCAGAGAAGCCCACGGAGGGCCCCGGGGAGCCCCAGCUGUGCCCAGCCUGCGCCCAAGCCUCAGGCCUGGCUGAAGUCACGGAGCCUCGGGAGGAAACCGCCUUUUUCCUGUGGGAACGUGGCCUCAAGGCAGGCCCCCCCCAAGCCCUCCGGCCCCCGAGGGCCGUCCCCGCACUGGCCUCUCGGGACACUGAGACGGUGUUUCCCUCCGCCCCCGGCACUGGGUCUCAAUCCCGAUUUCUGCAUUUUCACCUGCCGAUGGGACCUGCGCUUUUGCUUGGCUGCCCUACACUCGUGACCACGGCGGUGCCUCGUCUCGUGCCGGUCGGCCGGUCAGUCGCCCCAUGCCCUUCCUCGUAUUUUGGACUCUGUGCCCUCAGGACCCAGAGCUCUCUCCGCAGCAGGAGCCACUCAGGUCACCUGCAGGGAAAAGAGCCAGCUGGACAUUAGCUAGUCCCUGAAGUGCCUGUUUAACCUGCACUCUGGGUCCAAAACUCGAGGCCGGACUGUCCUGGGCCGGGCAUGGACCGCCAGAGGGUCCCAGCCUUCCUGAGGUUCUCCCGGCUCCGCCCCGGCAAGACGCGACGACAAGACGCGACGACACCUGCGCUGAAGGGGCCCCGGGGGUGUUUGUUCCUUUGUCCGUUCCCCACCCCCCUCCAGUUCACUGAGUCAACCCACCCCCGCUGCACGUCAGCUCCACCUCCCCUCCCCCCAACCCCCCUCCCCGCAACCUGCCUCUCCCACGUCCGCAUGUACGGGAAGGCUACUCGCAGCCCCCCAGGGCCCCUGUGGCCUGUGUCCCCCACUUCUCACCCCCUCACCCCUUUUUCCUUCUUACUUCCACGGCCCAUGACAUAGGGCAGGAACCAACCUCAUCUUUCCCGAGACGACCGACCGUUUGGAACUGGGGUCUUUGAAGACGGACUAAGGUAAACGCGUCCUCAGGGUGGGCCGUGCCCAGAACGACAGGGAGAGGGACGCCCACUCGAGGACCCGGAGCGCCGUCGACGCACCCAGGAGAGGCCUGGGGGACCGCCUGCCCGCACCCGGCUUUCCAGGCCGCGGGGCUCAGCUUCCCUGUUCAUACCACCUCCUCUGCGGCGUUUGUCAUGCUGCCCAGAGCGGCCCUUCGCAGGGCGGGCGGGUGGACCCGGGGGGACACGGGCUUCUUGCUCGGGUGGAUUUCCAUCAGCUUUUUCCUCACGUCCCCCUCACCGUCGUCCAGGAGGGGGGCUCCCAGGGGGCAGCGCAGACGGGGGUCUGUGUCCACCUUCACCACGCACAGAGGCGAGUCCAACCCUCGGGGCCCCGGGGCUUCAGCUGAGAAACGGAGACGACGGGGUCACCUUCGGGCAUCGAGACCCAAGGAGGACAGGGCCACCGCCGGGUGACCACACUCAGGUCCACCCAGAUGGUCUUGGCACCACCUGUUUGCUGCUGCUGAGCCAGAAACCAUGCAUCUGACACGCACCUCGGCCUCCAGGGUCCCUGCGACGAGAUUGUGGCCACCGCACACAGCCUGGUCUGAACGGGGACAGCAAACCAUGCCCAGGCUCAGGGCAGACGCUGGCUCGGUGCUCCUGUCACGGGGAAGCGGGAGCCCACUCUAGGUGUGCAGACUUGGUCAUGGGAGGACUGCGUCUCUUCCUGCCGCCCUGGAGGGCAGGCUCGGGGGCCGCCUGCCAGGCCACGAACUCAGGGCGCUCCCACUAACGCAACGGGAAGGCAGGAUCUUGCUGAGGCAGAGACACUGGGUCCAGAGGCCCCUCGGCGGCACCAGGCGGGUCGAAGGGAACACUGGGGGCCGCGAAGGAGGGACAGAGGUGGGGAAUGUGGGCUCCUCAGAGUGGGGGGGUUCCCGACGGGGGUCCCUCAGACUCCACCAGCCAUCCCACUGCCUGGGGCCGUCUCUCAGGAGGGUCCCAGGCCCGGCAGUAGACAUGACCUCAGACUUGGUGCCAGUUGGACCACAGCUGUUUCUCCCGCCCGCUGUGCAAACAGCCGUCUUACCUGUACCCACACAGUGGCUCCCCGGGCCUCCCCCGGCCUCGCCUGGGCCUCCCCUGGGCCUUUCCAGCUCCAGCCCCUGCCCCAGCCAAGCGCGGAGUUUCACUGAGUGACGUCCCUCCCAGGUGUUUCUCUAGCCCAUUUUUACGCCGCCAAGUGGGGGCUAUCACCUGCCUUUUCUCUGGGAAAACACCAGCCCCGGAGACACAGGAUUCAUCACAGAGCCCUGGCUCCCUUGGCAGCAAGUCUGGGUCACUGGCUCCCUUCCCGCCAGGGCGCUCUUGGCAGCUCGAGAGAGGCCAGCCUGACCCCGGGCUUGGCCCCGGAGGAGGAGCUGGAGGACGUUGCUGUGAGGCCUGCACCCCAGGACUUAUCGUGAGGGUCACCCACACCUCACAUCUGUGCCAACACCAUCCUGGCCGAGAGGACAGGCAGGACAGCGGCGGGGCUGGUGAGAUGCGUGCGGGCGAGGUCUGGGGAAAGUGAGCAAGGCGGGCAUGGGAACGUGGUGGAGCCCGAGGCUGUCCCUGAGGUUCAUGGUUUCAGGGCGCGAGGUGGCCGUGGCCGAGGGGACCGCGCUCGCAGCUCGUCUUUCUUCCCGUUUGCUCCCUGACACCUUGGCAGAGACCUGGCCGAUUAGACAGGUGUUAACAGGAAAUCAGCAACCGCGUUGUGGUGAAGGUCGAGGACUCUGUCCACACUCGGGGGCCGCUGAAAACAGAUGUGGAUUCUCAUGGUUCUGGAGGCUGGACGUCCAGAUCCAGGCGGACCCGUGUCUGGGGGAGACGCUCCCUGCUCAGGCCGUAUCCGUGGGUUCGUGUCACCGCUGUUAGAGCGCCGACUCCGUCGCGGGCCCUUCCUCCCCCCGACCUCCUCACCCCCCAACACCGUCACUCUGGGGUGACGCUGUCCACACGACUGGGCCACAGCAGUGUCAGUCCACCGCCCCGGGUCUCCAGGGAUGGUCGGAGGGGCCCGGUUCCUCCCCCAGCUAAGAUGCCACCUGCACGCGGUGCAUAGACUGAACCAAACCAGAUCCCACGGAUUCCAAGUAAGACUUUAGCUGUACCAAGUGAAGGCUGAGAGUCACAGGCUAUGGAAAGAGAAUUUUUCAUCCAAAAAUUUGGGCUAAUAAUGUGGCCUGAAAGGCAAAACUGUGCAAUUGGCAUACCUGCCCUGUGUGGCUGAGCAUGCGCCCAGGCCAGGUGCCCUCCCACGGCCGAGCUGGGACUGCCGGGCCCGCGUGCCCCCAACCCUGCUUUUGAGUACAUGGCCUCAGGUUUGUCUUAAAAAAAAAAAAGGAAACAGCGGGAAAUAUCACAGCGCGUGUGUAGGCUUUUGUGAAGCUUCGUGGAGAAGGCGCGAAGGAGCCUGGCACUUGCGCCACCAAGCUCCCGGGACGUGUCCACAGCUGGGAGCCCUGUGCCCUCUGACCCAACUUCCCAGGGCAGCUCCGCUGAGGGUCCUGUUCUACCUUCGGAAACCUGUCCUCUCCCUUCAGGUCUCCCAGGGGAACAGGGCUGCGUCUGAGGCAUAAACAGUCUAGAGCCAGGAUGGUCCCCUCCGCCAGCUCGCGUUUGCAGGUGGAGAGUUACAGGGACACAGCACUGCCAGUGGCUUUACCACUGCCCCUCCUGCCCCCUCCCUGCCCCCUCCUGCCUCCUCCCUGCCCCUCCCUGCUCCCUCCUGCCCCCUCCUGCCUCCUCCCUGCCCCCUCCUGCCUCCUCCCUGCCCCUCCCUGCCCUCUCCUACCUCCUCCUGCCUCCUCCUGCCUCCUCCUUGCCCCUCCUGCCUCCUCCCUGCCCCCUCCUGCCUCCUCCCUGCCCCUUCCUGCCCCCUCCCUGACCCCUCUUGCCCCCUCCUGCCUCCUCCCUGCCUCCUCCCUGCUUCCACCCUCUUCCUUGCUCUCAAGCAGGGGGGUCAUGUGACAGCCAAGCCCAGGGAGCUGGUGGCCCUGGUCCAGGCAGCACCUCUCACACCGGAUGUGCACAUGACUCAGCUCUCCAUGACCCUGAGGUGCAGGUUUUGGCUUCUCGGCCUGGGUUGGUCCUGAGACCCUGAUGGCGGGCUUCCUGGCUGAGGACUCCAGCGUCUGCCAGCAGGAGAGAACUUCCCGUCCCCUGGGUUCCAUGGAGUCUGUGGCUGCCUCCUCUGGGCAGGAGAGCAGGAUCUGGGCUGGUGAACCAGAGCAAAAGGGAGUCACGCCGGUGCCGAGCGCCCCCCCCUCCAUGCUUCCCGAAAGCCACGCUGGGCUGAGCUCUUAAGUCCAUCCCUCGAAGCCUCUUCCUGGAACCACAGCUUCCCCCUGGCGAUUCCGCUCCCUCCUGCACAAACUCCCCUGGUCCCGCUGUGGGCACCCCGACUUACACACUUACUUCCAGGUGCUGUUCAAGCUGACGUCCCUGACGCACGGGCCGUCACCCCGCACACCACCUAGACACAAGGCUUUGGGGGGCCGGCCCCACCCCUUCUGGGCCCACUAGCUGGCAGCUUUCUGAUGAAGCCUUCUGCCUGGGGGGCGAGGUGGGCAGGGCUGCAGACAUUUAACGGAAGCUCUCAAACUUGGCGCACAGAGAAGGGCAACCGGCAGCCACCGAGGGCUGCGCUCUGUGCACUCAGAGGGCACCUCCUGGCGGUGGGCAUUGGAGGGAAGGCCAGGCGCCCCAGACCGUGCCCGAGAAGGCCGUAGUGAAGGCGCGUCCCCAGUCCCACCUCGAGAAACAUCAGACAGACCGGAACGGAGGGACACUGGUCCAAACACAUCACUGCCACCCUUUAAAGCUGCUCGAUGUGAGUCGUGAUUUGAGACAGGGGGCGGGUGACACGUCUUCGCCAUCUCUUGUUGCUAAUGUGCCAAAGCUUUCCGAUCUCCUAAUUUUUCAGGGAAAAAUGAAAUUUUUCAGCAAAUGAGACAUUGUGAAAAGUCUGAUUAAUCUUAACCAAAUAUCUCAAGUCAAACAUUCCAUUCCAAAAACAUGACCCCGAGUUUGGCACCUUCGUGGUUGCAUGAAACAGCUGGUUCUCCUCAAUAGCCACCAAGGACCUGCUUCCUGCCACUUUGUCACUGUUAGGAAGUGACAGAUGAGCCCACCCUGUCCCUGUGUGAACUGAGCAAGCCUCUCCAGGGGAGGAAUGGCCCAUAGGGUGCUCCCCACGCUGGCGACCGAGGGGUGACCCUCAGGCCACAGCACGUCCGGCCUCCAAGAGCUGGCGCCACCAGGAGCUGAACGGGGGGCGCGGGCACGUCCAGAGCCGGGAGGAGUUCAGCUCAAAACUCGGAGGCGUUGCCUUCACUUCAGAUGUUGCGCUGUUCGUCUCAGUCUGUCUGCUUGCUCUUUAAACCCUCGGCUCUUUGUUAAACGUUUCUUGCACCUUCUCCGUCCGUGUCUCCGCUCUUUUCCCGGCAUCGUGGACCACCUUCGCUGUGGUCACUCCGAGUGCUCUUCCAGGUGGAUCGCCCGUCUCCUCCUCCUCCAGCGCCUGCGUGUUCGUCUUGUUCCUUCGUCUGAAAGCUGUGGUGCGCUUUCCAUGCUCAUCGUCCCCUUGACGGGCCGGUCGACGCCAACGAUGACAUUGAGGUGGACAAGCCACGCGGUCCUGCUGCUCAGCACAGGGAGCUCUUUGCAGUUCCCGUGACGGCACGUGACGGGAGACAGCAUGGGAAAAAGGACGCCUGCGACUGGGUCACUUCGCUGGGCAGCAGCAACGGACACAGCACUGUAAACGGAGCCCAGACGCAGGAAUCUGCCACAGCAAAUGCCUUUGGCAGAGCAGCAUAUGAAACUCCUCGGAUGUGGGGACGUGUUAGCAGCUAGGACCCUUAUUAGACCCAUUUGUUUAAACUUGAACCUCUGCCCGAUAGACCGAGAUCGCUGAGGGCAGGCCCAGGUCUCUGUCCAGGAGCCGCUGAGCCCCUGGAGUGACACACGAUCGGUGUUGGUCACACAUGGGGGACGGGGUCC